rnacentral:rRNA from 1 species
UACGUAGGGUGCAAGCGUUAAUCGGAAUUACUGGGCGUAAAGCGUGCGCAGGCGGUUUUGUAAGACUGUCGUGAAAUCCCCGGGCUCAUCCUGGGAAUGGCGAUGGUGACUGCAAGGCUAGAGUUUGGCAGAGGGGGGUAGAAUUCCACGUGUAGCAGUGAAAUGCGUAGAUAUGUGGAGGAACACCGAUGGCGAAGGCAGCCCCCUGGGUCAAAACUGACGCUCAUGCACGAAAGCGUGGGGAGCAAACAGG